rnacentral:lncRNA from 1 species
ACUCAUUCUGACAGAAGCAGAGAUAAAACAGACUAAGUACACAGAGGAGUUUAAGGUUUCGUGAAUUAAAUGGCAUGGGGAAAAUCUGAUUGCCACAGACAGAAGAAUGAAACUGGAUGCCUAUUUCUCACAAUACACAAAAGCGAUUCAAGAUUAAAGACUUAACUGUAAGACUUGAAACUGUAAAAAUACUAGAAGAAAAUCUAGGGAAAACUGUUCUGGACAUUGGCCUAGAAAAAGAAUUUCUGACUAAGACUUCAAAAGCACAGUAAACAAAAAUAGACAAACGGGACUUAAUGAAACUAAAACUCUUCUGCAGAGCAAAGAAAAUAAGAAACAGAGUGAACAG